ACGCUCGACACCUACGGGAAGCAGCAGUCGGGAAUAUUGCGCAAUGGAGGGAACUCUGACGCAGUGACGCCGCGUAUAGGAAGAAGGUUUUCGGAUUGUAAACUAUUGUCGUUAGGGAAGAGAAAGGACAGUACCUAAGGAGGAAGCUCCGGCUAACUGCGUGCCCGACAGCCGCGGUAAUCUGAGCGGGCGUGGCAAGGC
rnacentral:rRNA from 1 species